CAAUACAUUUUAUUACCCAGCAGGAUUCACAGGUGGGAUUAAUAAAGUUCAAUAUUUGCUCAACUAAAAGUUGUAAUCAUGGUGAAAAGAAAUGAAUUAGAACAAGCUCCUAUGGAUAGCUUACAUAAACAAUUUGGAGUUUUAACACUACUUCCACAUGAAAACUAUAUUAAGAAGAUACACUACAAAAGGCAAAGAGAUGAUCACGUGGAGAUGCUUGGGUCACAUGACCUUAGCUGGUAGAAAAGACGAUUUAUCAAGAAAGAAGACAUGGUGGUGCACAUCAGAGGCCACUGACUUUAUGAAGAAAUCUCUUCCCUGGUCACAUGGCAAGACAAGCGGCAUCAAUAUCAAUCAAUCAAUACUUGCUGAGAUCAGACAUAGCCACUUUCUUUCACUGCUGAAGAUGUCAGAUUCAUAAA